rnacentral:rRNA from 1 species
AGUGAACGCUGGCGGUAGGCCUAACACAUGCAAGUCGAACGGCAGCACAGGAGAGCUUGCUCUCUGGGUGGCGAGUGGCGGACGGGUGAGGAAUACAUCGGAAUCUACUUUUUCGUGGGGGAUAACGUAGGGAAACUUACGCUAAUACCGCAUACGACCUACGGGUGAAAGCAGGGGACCUUCGGGCCUUGCGCGAUUGAAUGAGCCGAUGUCGGAUUAGCUAGUUGGCGGGGUAAAGGCCCACCAAGGCGACGAUCCGUAGCUGGUCUGAGAGGAUGAUCAGCCAAGCUGGAACUGAGACACGGGCCAGACUCCUACGGGAGGCAGCAGUGGGGAAUAUUGGACAAUGGGCGCAAGCCUGAUCCAGCCAUACCGCGUGGGUGAAGAAGGCCUUCGGGUUGUAAAGCCCUUUUGUUGGGAAAGAAAUCCAGCUGGCUAAUACCCGGUUGGGAUGACGGUACCCAAAGAAUAAGCACCGGCUAACUUCGUGCCAGCCGCCGCAGUAA